GGGGGUGUUGCUCAGUGGUGGAGCACUUGCCUAGCAUGCACAAAGUCCUGGGUUCAAUUCUCAGCUUCUCCC
rnacentral:tRNA from 1 species